rnacentral:rRNA from 1 species
GAUGAACGCUGGCGGCGUGCUUAACACAUGCAAGUCGAACGAAGCAUUUGCGACAGAUUUUUUCGGAAUGAAGUUGCUUAUGACUGAGUGGCGGACGGGUGAGUAACGCGUGGGUAACCUGCCUUGUACUGGGGGAUAGCAGCUGGAAACGGCUGGUAACACCGCAUAAGCGCACAAUGUUGCAUGACAUGGUGUGAAAAACUCCGGUGGUAUAAGAUGGACCCGCGUCUGAUUAGCUAGUUGGUGAGAUAACAGCCCACCAAGGCGACGAUCAGUAGCCGACCUGAGAGGGUGACCGGCCACAUUGGGACUGAGACACGGCCCAGACUCCUACGGGAGGCAGCAGUGGGGAAUAUUGCACAAUGGAGGAAACUCUGAUGCAGCGACGCCGCGUGAGUGAAGAAGUAAUUCGUUAUGUAAAGCUCUAUCAGCAGGGAAGAUAGUGACGGUACCUGACUAAGAAGCUCCGGCUAAAUACGUG